rnacentral:rRNA from 1 species
AAUAGAUACCCGGGUAGUCCACGCCGUAAACGAUGAGUGCUAAGUGUUAGAGGGUUUCCGCCCUUUAGUGCUGCAGCUAACGCAUUAAGCACUCCGCCUGGGGAGUACGGCCGCAAGGCUGAAACUCAAAGGAAUUGACGGGGGCCCGCACAAGCGGUGGAGCAUGUGGUUUAAUUCGAAGCAACGCGAAGAACCUUACCAGGUCUUGACAUCCUCUGACAACCCUAGAGAUAGGGCUUUCCCCUUCGGGGGACAGAGUGACAGGUGGUGCAUGGUUGUCGUCAGCUCGUGUCGUAAGAUGUUGGGUUAAGUCCCGCAACGAGCGCAACCCUUGAUCUUAGUUGCCAGCAUUCAGUUGGGCACUCUAAGGUGACUGCCGGUGACAAACCGGAGGAAGGUGGGGAUGACGUCAAAUCAUCAUGCCCCUUAUGACCUGGGCUACACACGUGCUACAAUGGAUGGUACAAAGGGCUGCAAACCUGCGAAGGUAAGCGAAUCCCAUAAAGCCAUUCUCAGUUCGGAUUGCAGG